UUUUGUUACCAUGCAUGGAUCAAACUGUUUUGCACUAAAUAUUAUGUUGGAAUAUUUUGUUUUAUUUAUGACACAAAAUAUGGAGAUAUUAUGUUGUGUAAAUUUGAAUACUUGAACAAAAACAUCACUCUGGUUUAUUUGACCCUUGUCAACGGGAUAUAAUAGUUGACCUUUACAUUUCAUGGUGGGAAUGUAAUUGAUUUGGACCCCAACCUCUAGGGGUUUGGUUAGAGGUUACUAGUACUAGUAGUGUUUGGUUCCGUCCACUAGGAACAAUUUGAGGCUAGCCACCCAUUUGAAAAGUCCCACCUAACUGGGCAUUUGAUAUUUGAUAACCAGAGUAAUGAAAAUUGAAUGGAUUUGAUUGAAUCUUAUGUGAAAGUGUUUGAAUUUGAUAUGAAAAU
rnacentral:lncRNA from 1 species